GAACGCAUCUUGCGCUCCUUGGUAUUCUGAGGAGCAUGCCUGUUUGAGUAUCAUGAACACCUCAACUCUCAUGGUUUGCCAUGAUGAGCUUGGACUUUGGGGGACUUGCUGGCCUAUGGUCGGCUCCUCUCAAAUGAAUCAGCUUACCAGUGUUUGGUGGCGUCACAGGUGUGAUAACUAUCUACGCUUGCGGCUUUCCAUCAGGUAACCUUCAGUGAUGGAGGUUUGCUGGGGGCUCAUAAAUGUCUCUCCUCGGUGAGGACAGCUUUUUGAACGUUUGAUCUCAAAUCAGGUAGGACUACCCGCUGAACUUAAG
rnacentral:misc_RNA from 1 species